AUGUGAGGGCAAUCUGGCUGUGACAUCUGUCACCCCAUUGAUCACCAGGGUUGAUUCCACUGAUCUGGCUGGACAGAUGGCUGUUCCCUUCCUCCUUCAUUCAUCCAUGUGCGUCCCUCCCAAAGCUGCACACUCGUUCAAGAGGAUGACCCCCAAUAAGGGAGGACCAGUCCUUGGUUAAAGGUAUACGAGUAGCUGCGCUUCCCUGCUAGAACCUCCAAACAAGGUCUUAAGGAAAAACAUUCCUUCCCUAUAGUAUCUGGAAUGAACAACAUUAUAUGUGAUGCCUUCAAGAAAAAGUUUUUGACUGUGAACAAGAACAGGAAAUAGUGAAAUUUUAUCUU
ensembl:misc_RNA 7SK 7SK RNA